rnacentral:rRNA from 1 species
AGUGAACGCUGGCGGUAGGCCUAACACAUGCAAGUCGAACGGCAGCACAGUAAGAGCUUGCUCUUACGGGUGGCGAGUGGCGGACGGGUGAGGAAUACAUCGGAAUCUACUUUUUCGUGGGGGAUAACGUAGGGAAACUUACGCUAAUACCGCAUACGACCUACGGGUGAAAGCAGGGGAUCUUCGGACCUUGCGCGAUUGAAUGAGCCGAUGUCGGAUUAGCUAGUUGGCGGGGUAAAGGCCCACCAAGGCGACGAUCCGUAGCUGGUCUGAGAGGAUGAUCAGCCACACUGGAACUGAGACACGGUCCAGACUCCUACGGGAGGCAGCAGUGGGGAAUAUUGGACAAUGGGCGCAAGCCUGAUCCAGCCAUACCGCGUGGGUGAAGAAGGCCUUCGGGUCGUAAAGCCCUUUUGUUGGGAAAGAAAAGCAGCAUGUUAAUACCCCGCUGUUCUGACGGUACCCAAAGAAUAAGCACCGGCUAACUUCGUG